UUCAUACUCAUGGGUUGUCGUUGCGCGCUUGGAUCGCACUUUGCCUUCAUUUUCGUUUCACGUUCGAACAUGAUAACCGCUUUGGUGUGGUGAUAAAGAUGGCCCUAUAUGUGGGACGAUCGGCGACUAGAAAAGUGUCCGGUAGAUUCCUAUAGAAUACAUUUACGGAAGGUUUCAUACUGCAAUGCUUCCGUCCAGCUUAUAAAGUAAUCGGUACAAACAGAAAGGAUACAUGCUUCGAAUAACGCUAAUGGCACUUCUUUCAUUAAGGUGGCUUCCAGAACGUAAUUGGCAAGAAUGUCAUUCCUUCGCUGAGCCAAACAGGAACCGGAAGACUGGAUUACCAGAUAGCACGCUUUUAGUUCGACACUAUCGGUAGGGGAUUAUCGGAGGGUGAUGUGUCGUCUCGUGUGACGCGACUCUUGUAAUUAACUCACAUCUACUUUUCGUACUACAACCUCGGAUGCUGAAGUCUAACAUUUUUGGAUCUUGCCUUUCAAUUACAAGUAAAAAGUAAAUGAGACCAUCAAAUGUGUCGUGACUCCAGUGUGCGAAGUGGCGCAAAGUGUAUCGUCAAAAUAGACCUGUCUUCUCUUACGUCCCUGCGUUGAAUGCUCUAAACAAGAAGUGACACUUUACGGCCGGAAUCGUACAAGCCGCACGAUAUAGUAACGGACCGCAAACAUCUUCAACAGCCAGACGGCUCCGUUCAUCACGAAUCUGCCGGCUGUGGGAUCCACUCCAAGAUGUUUCCAACUUUAAUUAUAGAUUAGAAAUUCAUUUCCAGCAUCCAUAACAAUUAACUUAGGUGAUACGUUAUCGCUGAAUACACCAAGUAAAAACCAGCGUGUGAUUUAUGUUGCUCAAAGAGAAAUAACUAAAGAAUCGUUGUAUUGCGGCGAAAGUUGGCAUUCAGUGAAGAGAAAACCAAAAAGUUAGAGAAUGAAGUAGCGUUUUAAGAGAUACAAUUUGUCACAAGUUAGAUUUAGUUGUAAGAAGUAUAGCUCACCAAACAGGUUACCGGAGGGUAAGUGUCAGUAACUCAUCCCUGUGAAGGUCUUCUCCCUAGAGCGAGUUUUGAAUAAAACCAUGCGUUGAUAACAGAAGAGGAGCUUAAAAGAUUUGAGGAGCAGCUAGCAACAGAUCCAUGCCACAAAGCGAAGAUAGUGCGUUAUUUGCAAGGGCAAAUAAGUCGUGUGGCCGUGCCGAAUCGUCUACAUGCUUUAAUUGAUUUUUUUUUUUGUUCGUAAGGAACGGCCUUGCCGUAUUGCUUAAAGCUAAAUUAUAAAUAUUAGUACAUUUCACGAUGGUUUGGAGACAUUUCCUUCUCCAAGCCGUGAAAGGGCACCUUAUCCCGGGUGAACUCGGUUGAUCCGUUAAUAAUACAUCCGUCAUCCAAAUUUGAGGUUUUGUCGGUAGCGAGGGUCGGUAUCGUGAGGGCUCAUCUCAUCUCAAUUGUUUUUGGGAUAUGCCAUCGUCAGUAUUCUGCGUGUUGUAAUCCAGCGUUCUUCCAUCCCUCUGGCUUGCCUGCUUUCAUUGGCCGUCGCAACACGCCAUUGCAACGGUGUAGCUUUUGGUCCUGGAUCCUCCAGGAUAUUCCGCCUAUGCCAUACCAAGCCCCUCUAUCAUCGCACUCAUUCAUACAUUCAUUCAUUUAAUAAUUC